GUCAAAUUUUGGAAUUUUCAAUUAUUUCAACUUUUAAUCUGGUACUUUUGAAGGUAAUUUGCAAAUAAUUCAUUAAGGAUCAAAAAUAUUGAAAAUUGAAGAAUGACAGUUACUAGACAAUGUUACAGUCAGUAAGUAUGCCAAAUAUUAACCUUCUGCAAUGAAUAGUUAGAAGAUUACAGUAUCACAAAGAUCACUGACACAUGUCAAAUUGCGAAACUGAGAAAAUCCAAUUUAAAGUUCUCAUUCAUGUUUUUCUUACAUUACAAAGGUUCAGAAGCUAUCUGCUUCAUAAGUUACACUUUCCAUGCCCUCAGCAUGAUCUAAAUACUUCUUUCUGAGGUGUCUUAGUGACUUUCUCCUUACUUUCACCUUUUCUGAGCUCUUUUGGGCCGACAGCUUGAUCGUCGCUCUGUCGCAGUCUUGGGCACCUUUACGAGUGAAGAAUCCAGGCAUUAUAUCCAAAUCUUCAAAAAUUUUGAGGAAAUAAAUGUCCCCAUCAUUGAAUUUUAGGACUGCUAAAUAGGUGACAAGAGCUACUCUUUCCUGCUCUACAUAGGUAGACUUUGGACAUCAGUCCCAGAUGACCCCGCCCAAACAUUCAUUUGCAUUCUGGGUCAAGCUAUGUGUGAUUUAUUCAACAAGACAGUGUUAGCCAAAUCAGCAAAUAUAAUCAACUCAACAAUGGGCUUUGAAAUACCAUUCUUGUGUUUAUAUGUUUCGCUAUCUCUUUGAUAGCCACACAAACUUUCCUUUCGGGCAAAGAUGAUGCUGCGGGUUCUCAUCAGUCGAAUCAACAUGGAGAAGAGAUGCCUUUACAGCUUGGCUUCUCUGUUUGCCAGACCGUAAUAAUUUUCUAGAACAUCUAUUUUACCAUCAGUAAGCUGACCUUUACCAGAUAUUCCUUUUCCAUCCGAAAGUUUUCUGGGUAGAACUAUUUUUAUGCACACAAACUGUAAAACAAUGUAAUGAGAAUAUCCAUGUUCAUCUCCACUGUCAGGACAUUUCAAAAUGUUAUCAAAGACACCAAAUAAAAUUGACCAAUCCAUAAAUACUGUUCCUUUCCUUGUAGUGGCUAUAUAAUUUCGGUAUUAACACCAAAGUUUGCUGUCUGAGAGCCAAUUUUCGCUCUGGAAUGUCCAGCUUCUUUGUCACGAGAUUCGCCAUGUUUGAAUUUCUUCGCCGUCUUCGAAGGCGGAUUUUAUCGCUCUGUUCUUCGUAUUUUUCAUUUAUUGACUUCAAAUUACAAUCCAAAUAACAAAACGAAUCUUUGGGAAACUAGAACAGCAACUUUUCGACUUGGAAUUUAAGAAAAAACUAAGAUUUUUGUCGAUAAUUUCAGAGUGAAUGCAAAUGCAUCGAUCACAAGACAGACAAAGAAAUCGCGUUGCCAUGGCUCCCCAAAGCAACCAAUCGCAAUGCAGCUAAGUCAGAAGAUUCUAAAUCACAUACACCAAAAGGAGAAACAUAAAGAAACUUGUUUGAAGUGAUUUUUGGACGAAAUUUUGAGUGAAUUUUGUACCUAAAUGCGUUGCUAGGGCGUUGCUAUGGGGUAAAUUUUCAAACAAGGUAACUUUGAGAGCUUUUUUCACCUAAUUUAGAUUUUUUUGAAAAAAAUCAACCAUGC
rnacentral:lncRNA from 1 species